rnacentral:rRNA from 1 species
ACGGAAGGCAGCAGUGGGGAAUAUUGCACAAUGGGGGAAACCCUGAUGCAGCGACGCCGCGUGAGUGAAGAAGUAUUUCGGUAUGUAAAGCUCUAUCAGCAGGAAAGAAAAUGACGGUACCUGACUAAGAAGCCCCGGCUAACUACGUGCCAGCAGCCGCGGUAAUACGUAGGGGGCAAGCGUUAUCCGGAUUUACUGGGUGUAAAGGGAGCGUAGACGGCUUUGCAAGUCUGAAGUGAAAGCCCGGGGCUCAACCCCGGAACUGCUUUGGAAACUGCAUAGCUAGAGUGCAGGAGAGGUAAGUGGAAUUCCUAGUGUAGCGGUGAAAUGCGUAGAUAUUAGGAGGAACACCAGUGGCGAAGGCGGCUUACUGGACUGUAACUGACGUUGAGGCUCGAAGGCGUGGGGAGCAAACAGGAUUAGAUACCCUGGUA